AUGGCCAAGAUCCGAGAGAGGAAGACGAGGGAUAUUAGGCAAGUCAAAUGCAUCAAGGACGGAGAAGACCAACUCCUGGUGAAGGACGAGGAGAUUAAGCAUAGAUGGCGGGAGUACUUCGACAAGCUGUUCAAUGGGGAGAAUGAGAGUUCUACCAUUGAACUGGACGACUCCUUUGAUGAGGCCAACAUGCGUUUUGUGCGGCGAAUCCAGGAGUCUGAGGUCAAGGAGGCUUUAAAAAGGAUGAAAGGACGCAAGGCGAUGGGCCCUGAUUGUAUCCCCAUUGAGGUGUGGAAAGGCCUCGGGGACAUAGCGAUAGUAUGGCUAACCAAGAUUUUCAACCUCAUUUUUCGGGCAAACAAGAUGCCAAAAGAAUGGAGACGGAGCAUAUUAGUACCAAUCUUCAAGAACAAGGGGGAUGUGCAGAGUUGUACUGAUUACCGUGGAAUUAAGCUGAUGAGCCAUACAAUGAAGCUAUGGGAGAGAGUCAUUGAGCACCGCUUAAGAAGAAUGACAAGCGUGACCAAAAAUCAGUUUGGUUUCAUGCCUGGGAGGUCGACCAUGGAAGCCAUUUUCUUAGUACGACAACUUAUGGAAAGAUAUAGGGAGCAAAAGAAGGACUUGCAUAUGGUGUUCAUUGACUUGGAGAAGGCCUAUGAUAAGAUACCGCGGAAUAUCAUGUGGUGGACCUUGGAGAAACACAAAGUCCCAGCAAAGUACAUUACCCUCAUCAAGGACAUGUACGAUAAUGUUGUGACAAGUGUUCGAACAAGUGAUGUUGAUCAGGGGUCAGGUUUGAGCCCUUAUCUUUUUGCCUUGGUGAUGGAUGAGGUCACAAGGGAUAUACAAGGAGAUAUCCCAUGGUGUAUGCUCUUUGCGGAUGAUGUGGUGCUAGUUGACGACAGUUGGACGGGGGUAAAUAGGAAGUUCGAGUUAUGGAGACAAACCUUGGAAUCGAAAGGGUUUAGGCUUAGUAGAACUAAAACAGAGUACAUGAUGUGUUCAGUACUACUAGGUGUGAGGAGGAGGUUAGCCUUGAUGGGCAGGUGGUGCCUCAGAAGGACACCUUACGAUAUUUGGGGUCAAUGCUGCAGGAGAAUGGGGAUAUUGAUGAAGAUGUGA
rnacentral:rRNA from 1 species